UCUCCAAAUAAGACAUCUCUAACAAUAAGAUCAAUAAAAGCUUCAUUCGAUCCAUAUCUAUCCAAACAAAAAAAAAAACAAUAAACAAAUUAACUAAAUCAUUAACCCGAGGCAACAAAUAUACAGGUGGCGUUGUAAAAAAAAAGUUUUCAUUAACCCGAGGCAACAAAUAUAAGGUGGCGUUGAAAAAAAAAAGUUUUCAUUAACCCGAGGCAACAAAUAUACAGGUGGCGUUGAAAAAAAAAAACUUUUCAUUAACCCGAGGCAACAAAUAUACAGGUGGCGUUGAAAAAAAAAAAGUUUUCAUUAACCCGAGGCAUCAUAUUCAAAAUGUUCUACUCUUAUACAUCUAUAAACAUGUG
rnacentral:lncRNA from 1 species